GUCUACAACCAUAACACCCUGAAUAUGCCCAAUCUCAUCUAGUCUUGGAAGCUAAGCAGGGUUGGGCCUGAUUAGUACUUGGAUGGAGGAAAGAUCUUCAGAGGAGGCUGCUCAGAGAUAAACAGUUUGGAGACA
rnacentral:rRNA from 1 species